UACAGAGGGGGCAAGCGUUGUUCGGAAUUACUGGGCGUAAAGGGCGCGUAGGCGGCCUUCUAAGUCGGACGUGAAAGCCCCAGGCUUAACCUGGGAACUGCGUCCGAUACUGGGAGGCUUGGAUUCGGGAGAGGGAUGUGGAAUUCCAGGUGUAGCGGUGAAAUGCGUAGAUAUCAAGGGGAACACCUGAGGUGAAGACGGGUUGCUGGGCCGACACUGACGCUGAGUGCGCGAAAGCCAGGGGAGCAAACGGG
rnacentral:rRNA from 1 species